UACGAAGGGGGCUAGCGUUGUUCGGAUUUACUGGGCGUAAAGCGCACGUAGGCGGAUCGUUAAGUCGGGGGUGAAAUCCUGGAGCUCAACUCCAGAACUGCCUUCGAUACUGGCGAUCUUGAGUCCGGAAGAGGCGAGUGGAACUCCUAGUGUAGAGGUGGAAUUCGUAGAUAUUAGGAAGAACACCAGUGGCGAAGGCGGCUCACUGGUCCGGUACUGACGCUGAGGUGCGAAAGCGUGGGGAGCAAACAGG
rnacentral:rRNA from 1 species